UACAGAGGUCUCAAGCGUUGUUCGGAUUCAUUGGGCGUAAAGGGUGCGUAGGUGGCGGGGUAAGUCAGGUGUGAAAUCUCGGGGCUCAACCCCGAAACUGCAUUUGAUACUGCCUUGCUCGAGUACUGGAGAGGAGAUUGGAAUUUACGGUGUAGCAGUGAAAUGCGUAGAUAUCGUAAGGAAGACCAGUGGCGAAGGCGAAUCUCUGGACAGUUACUGACACUGAGGCAGCGAAGGCCAGGGAGGCAAACGGG
rnacentral:rRNA from 1 species